rnacentral:rRNA from 1 species
GAUGAACGCUGGCGGCGUGCUUAACACAUGCAAGUCGAACGAUGAAGCCCAGCUUGCUGGGUGGAUUAGUGGCGAACGGGUGAGUAACACGUGAGUAACCUGCCCUUAACUCUGGGAUAAGCCUGGGAAACUGGGUCUAAUACCGGAUAGGAGCGCCUACCGCAUGGUGGGUGUUGGAAGAUUUAUCGGUUUUGGAUGGACUCGCGGCCUAUCAGCUUGUUGGUGAGGUAAUGGCUCACCAAGGCGACGACGGGUAGCCGGCCUGAGAGGGUGACCGGCCACACUGGGACUGAGACACGGCCCAGACUCCUACGGGAGGCAGCAGUGGGGAAUAUUGCACAAUGGGCGAAAGCCUGAUGCAGCGACGCCGCGUGAGGGAUGACGGCCUUCGGGUUGUAAACCUCUUUCAGUAGGGAAGAAGCGAAAGUGACGGUACCUGCAGAAGAAGCACCGGCUAACUACGUG